AUGGACGCCGCCACGGGCACGGAGGGAACGGCCAGCGGCAGCGUACUCCUGCUCCUCCUCGUCGCCGGUGUUGUCGCAGUCUAUGUUCGGCUGGGGCGACGGUGGGGGGACGGGAGCAGCAGCGCGCCGAGUCCGCCGUCGCUCCCGCUGCUCGGCCACCUGCACCUGCUCAAGAAGCCGCUGCACCGCUCGCUCGCCGCUCUCGCCGGGCCGGCGCCGCUCCUGUCGCUGCGGCUGGGCGCGCGAAGGGCGCUGGUCGUGUCCACGCACGCGGCGGCCGAGGAGUGCUUCACGGCGCACGACGCGGCGCUGGCAGGCCGGCCGCGGAUGCUCGCUGGGGAGAUUCUCGGCUACGGGCGCACCACCAUCGUGUGGGCCUCCCACGGGGCGCACUGGCGCGGCCUGCGCCGGUUCCUUGCCGUCGAGCUCUUCUCGGCUUCCCGCGUCGCCGCUCUCGCCACCGACCGCCACGCCGAGGUCGCGUCCCUCGUCGAGAACCUGCUCCACGACGCCACCGCCAGCGCCGGGGGUGGGGGUGGGACUAUCACGCUCCGGCCCCGGCUCUUUGAGCUGGUGCUUAACGUGAUGCUGUGCGCGCUCACCGCGCGCCGGCAUGCCGGCGACGUGGGCAGGAUCCAGGAGAUCAUCGAGGAGACGUUUGCGGUGACCGGCGCUCCCAGCUUCGGGGACUUCUUCCCGGCGCUUCGCUGGGUCGACCGUCUCCGCAGCGUCGAGGCGGCGCUUGUAAGGCUGCAGGCAAGGCGCGACGCGUUCGUCACUGGCCUCAUCGGUGACCAACGGCGAAUUUCCAACGCACGUAGCCAAGAAGACGUGGACAAGAAGGGCGUAAUCGACGUGCUCAUGGAGCACCAAGCAACCGACCCCGAGUUUUACAGCGACACCGUCGUCAAAGGCAUUGUCUUGGUACUCCUCACUGCCGGCACCGACACAUCGGCGCUGACGACGGAGUGGGCGAUGGCGCUGCUGAUGACGCACCCGGCGGCGAUGGCGAAGGCGAGGGCCGAGAUAGACGCCGUCGUCGGCAUGGGCGGGCUGGUCGACGAGUCGGACCUAGCCAACCUACCUUACCUGCACUGUGUUGUCAAGGAGACCCUGCGGCUCUGCCCCGUCGGCCCGAUCAUCCCGGCGCACGAGGCCAUGGAAGACUGCACCGUGGGUGGCUUCCGCGUCCCGCACGGCACGAUGAUCCUCGUGAACGCAUGGGCGGUCCACCGGGACGCCAAUGUCUGGGACGCGCCGGAGGAGUUCAUGCCGGAGCGGUUCUUGGGCAGAGACACGGUCACCACGCCCAUGAUGCCGUUCGGGCUUGGCCGGAGGCGAUGCCCCGGGGAGGGGCUGGCGAUGCGCCUUGUUGGCUUGACUCUCGCAACACUCGUGCAGUGCUUUGACUGGGAUGUUGGUGAAGGCGACACCAUCGACAUGGCCGAAGGUGGGGGGCUGUCAAUGCCAAUGGCGACGCCGUUGGCGGCUCUCUGUCGGCCCCGGGAGUUUGUCAAGAGUGUGCUCUCUGCUUCCACUUGA
rnacentral:rRNA from 1 species